rnacentral:piRNA from 1 species
UGGGGUGACCGAUGGUCCCUGGUCUGU